rnacentral:tRNA from 1 species
GGUGGCGCUGGCGUGGUUGACCGACGCGUCGCCGAACGAGCAGACGACUAUCGCGUCCGGUGGCCAGGGGGCGUGCGUGGCGCCGGCGCCGCUGCC